UUGAACGCUGGCGGUAUGCUUAACACAUGCAAGUCGAACGGUAGCAGGCCUUCGGGCGCUGACGAGUGGCGGACGGGUGAGUAAUGCAUAGGAAUCUGCCUUGGAAUGGGGGAUAACUAAGGGAAACUUUAGCUAAUACCGCAUGAUGUCUACGGACCAAAGCGGGGGACCUUCGGGCCUCGCGUUCUGAGAGGAGCCUAUGUCAGAUUAGCUAGUUGGUGGGGUAAAGGCCCACCAAGGCAUUGAUCUGUAACUGGUCUGAGAGGAUGACCAGUCACACUGGGACUGAGACACGGCCCAGACUCCUACGGGAGGCAGCAGUGGGGAAUAUUGGACAAUGGGCGCAAGCCUGAUCCAGCAAUACCGCGUGAGUGAAGAAGGCCUUAGGGUUGUAAAGCUCUUUUGUAGGGGAGGAAAGGCUGUGUGUUAAUAGCGCGCAGCUGUGACGUUACCCUAAGAAUAAGCACCGGCUAACUCUGU
rnacentral:rRNA from 1 species